rfam:Triticum aestivum genome assembly, contig: Triticum_aestivum_CS42_TGACv1_scaffold_643025_T_5DL-0.337415_3DL-0.231351
CAUAUACUCCCUCCGUUCGGAAUUACUUGUCGCAGAAAUGGAUGUAUGUAGACGUAUUUUAGUUCUAGAUACAUCCAUUUCCGAGACAAGUAAUUCCGAAUGGAGAGAGUAUAUC